AUCACAGACAAAAUACAGUAGAAUUGAGAAAGAGUUCAAGAAAGGGUGGACAGCAUUUGUAGCAACUCUGUGAGAGAUAUCUGAAUAUUCAAGGACUUCUCAAGCUGGCAAACAAGCUGGAAGUGCUACAGAAGUCUGCAAAACCAGUAUACUUCCAUGCAUGAGCUUUUGUUGGUAACAUAAGCUUGCUGUGCAGAAGUGAUUUGCCAAUAGCAUUUCUGGAAAGGAAAGGAAAUGAAACUGUUGAAGAACGACAAGUUUGACUGUGCCAGGCUAUCUAUGGAGCAAUAGCUUAGGGCCACUGUGAUUGCUCUUGCUUUCUAUGCAUCUGCUUUGGAAGAAUGGAGAUGUGGAACCAGUCUCAAAGGUCUACCUGGAGGACAAAUUUUAUGGUGGAAGUGCAUCUAUAUUUGAAGUCUGAAGCAGUUCCGGAAACUCUGGGAAUAGCAUUCAUUUGUUCUCUGUGGGACUAUUCAAAGCUAUUUCUUUAAGCAUUAAAACUGGAAAGUUUGGAUAAAGUAUAUUAGGUUAAAACAAUCUCAAGAUCCUGGGUGAUAUGUCUAUUACAGAGAAAAUAGCAUGUUCAUAUUAAUUACUGCUCCUAUACAAAUAUUUCUAGUUAGAAAAUACUUUUAUAUAAGCGUUUUUUUUUUUUCUUUUCUUAGUUAAAAACUUGAAUUUGAAUUUCAAAGUAAUUUCCUGUGCCUAGGAAAAAAUCUUUGCUUUAGGCCUGUUGUGGAAUUAAUGCAAUUUAUCUCUUAUUUCUCCUUUGCAGCCUCUGAAUCUAUAGACAUGAGGCCAACGAUAAAUUAUAUCUCCAGAACUUUAUACUCAAGGAUCACUGAUAAUGAAUUCCUCAAAUUCAUAAAGUAUCAUGAUUAUAGUACCUUCAUAGGCAUUUACGAUUCUUUAUACAGCCUUUAUAUAAAGGAUUUUAAGACAUAUCCUUGUGUUCUUGUUGUUAAGGUUUUUUUGUUUUGUUUUGUUUCCAAAGAAGUUAGCUACAAUAAGCUAGUGUACACACCAUAUUUUUUUUCAGUCACCAGUAAUGCCUUUGUGCUUUCUUAUUACACUGCAUGGUACUUUAAUGAUUGAAUAAGUGUCGUCCACUAGAUAUAGCUAAAAUGUCAGCAACACUGGUAAAGGUAAGGGAAAAGAAAGAACAUGCCAUACAAAGCCAUAUGCUGCAAUGCUUUGUAAAGACACUGCUGUCAGUCAGUACCCAUCAAUGUUGCUAGUGUAAAGCAUAACGUUCAUUAUGUAUUUAAUUAAUGUGAACUGAGAUAAAGUUCAGUUAUAUAGUGCAUUAAUCCACAUGAAAUACACAGAAAUUCAUGGAAUUUGUUGUGAGAAAGGGGAGAUCAUCUUGGUUGAGAUUACACGGCAUGGCGUGGUGUCCAGGGGAUCAGAUCCAGUUAGCAUGGGUUUAUGAAAGGCAGGUCGUGCUUGACAAACCUCAUCUCCUCCUACGGCUGGGUGACCAGACUGAUAGAUACGACCAGGCUGUCGAUGUAGUCUACCUAGACUUCAGCAAAUCCUUUGACAUGGUCUCUCACAGUAUUCUCCUGGGAAAACUGCCUGCCCAUGGCCUGGACAGAUGUACCCUUAUUUGGGUAACGAACUGACUAGAGGGCUGUGCCCAACAGGUAGUAGUUAAUGAAGUUAAGUCCAGUUGCUGACCAGUCACAAGUGCUGUCCUCCAGGGGUCGGUACUGGGGCCCAUCUUGUUUAAUAUCGUUAUCGAUGAUCUAGAUGAGGGGAUUGAGUGUACCCUCAGUAAGUUUGCAGAUGACACCAAGUUGGGAGGCAGCGUCAAUCUGCCUGGAGGUAGUGAGGCCCUUCAGAGGGAUGUGGAUAGGAUGAAUUACUGGGCUGAAGUGAAUAGGAUGAGGCUCAACAUGGCCAAGUGCCAAGUCCUGUACUUUGACCACAAUAACUCCAUGCAGUGCCAUAGGCUUGCGGCUUAGUGGCUGGAUGACUGUGAAGAGGAAAGGGACCUGGAGGUGUUGGUUGAUGCUUGACUGAACAUGAGCCGACAGCGAGCCCAGGUGACCAGGAGGGCCAAUGCCAUCCUGGCCUGCAUUAGAAAUAGUGUGGCCAGCAGGAACAGGGAAGUAAUCAUCCCCCUGUACUCAGCACUGGUGAGGCCACACCUUGAGUACUGUGUUCAGUUUUGGGCCCCUAACUACAGGAAAGACAUGGAGGCCCUGGAACAUGUCCAGAGAAGGGCAAUGAAACUGGUGAAGGGUCUGGAGCAUAGGUCUUAUGAGGAGCAGCUGAGGGAGCUGGGAUUGUUUAGGCUGGAGGAGGCUCAGAGGAGACCUCAUUGCACUCUACAACUUCCUGAAGGGAGGUUGUGAUGAGGAAGGGUUUGGCCUCUUCUCCCAGGCAACAAACAGGACCCAAGGAAAUGGCCAGAAGUUGUACCAGAGGAGGCUUAGGUUAGACAUAAGGAAAACUUUUUCUCUCAGAGAGUAGUCAGGCACUGGAAUGGCCUGCCCAAGGAGGUAGUGGAGUCGCCAUCCCUGGUAGUUUUCAAGAGGUGUCUGGAUGAGGAGCUAUGAGAUAUGGUUUAGUGGCUUGUGGUAGCAAGAGUAAUGGAAGGACGGUUGGACUAGAUGAUCUUAUAGGUCCUUUCCAAACUUGUGAUUCUAUGAUUCUAAGAUGGAGAAAUGAAUGAAUGGGAAACAGUCCUUGUGCCUAGUAACUGACAGACUAACAGAUCAAAUCACAUAUGUGUUAAGCAUCCGAGCAAAAUAUUGUGAUGUCUAAGAAAAAAUAAUUGUAAAAUAUCUACAAAUGACUCAGUUGCAAUUUUUCUUCCUGUUAUAUGGUGAUUGGAAUAUGACUGGAGACAGGGACAACAAACAUCAAGGAAUAAAUCAGAUCAGCAUUUGCUGUUGUGCAGUUUUUAGAGAAACAAGACUUAAUGUAAUUGCUUUCAAAUGCAUAUGAUGUUUAAUUAAAAAGAUCACAAUAAGUGGUACAAAAGUGCAUUUAUUAGCCUAUUUAGGUAACUUGCUUAGAAUCAUAAUAUCAUGGAAUGGCUUAGUUUGGAAGGCAUUGUAAACAUAAUCUAGUUCAAACUCUCCUACUAUGGGCAGGGUUCUGAUCCACUAGAUCAUACUGCCCACGGCCCCUUCCAACCUGGUCUUGAACACCUCUAGGGAUAGAGCAUUCUUAACUUCUCUCAGGGUAGCCUACUGCAGUGCCUCAAAACCCUCUGGAUAAAAAAAUUUCUUCCCAACAUUUAAAUCUCCCCUCUUUUAUCUUCAAACCGUUUCCCCUUGGCCCAUCACUAGAUAUCUGUGUAAGAGACGGAAUUCCCUCCUCUUUAUAAGCUCCCUUCAAGUACUAGAAGGCUGCAGUUAGGUGUCCACUGAGUCUACUCUUCCCCAAGCUAAACAAGCCCAAUUCCAUCAACCUUUCUUCCUAGGAGAGGCUCUUCAGCCCUCUGAUCAUCUUUGUGGGCCUCCUAUGAACCCUCUCCAACAGCGCCGCAUCUUUCUUGUGCUGGAGGCUCCAGAUCUGGACACAGUAUUCCAGAUGGGGCCUCACAAGGGCUGAGUAGAGGGGGACCAUCAUCCCCUCUCCCUGCUGACCACACCUCUUUUGAUGCAGCCAAGAAUAGAGUUGGCCUUUUGGAUUGCAAGAGAACACUGUCGGCUCAUGUCAAUAUUUUUGUACACCAGAACCCUCAAGUCCUUCUCCACAGGACUGUUCUCAAUCAAUUAUUUCUUCUCCCAGUUGGUACUCAUUUCUAGGUUACUCCAACAAAAUUAUGAAUCUGAUUUUAUCUUCUGUUCCUUUGUAUGCCUUUAUUAUACUUGACUGACUCUUUGAAAAUGAAUGCAUAUGAAAAGAAUAUCUAAAAGUUCAUUUUUAACUACAAGAAAUUAACAAAUUCUUUUUCCUGCCUUCAGCAUAUGCCUGUGUUUUAAUUUUUACGUAUGUAUGAAUAUAUGUGUCUAUAUUGUAUACCCAUUAAUAAAAUAGUAUCAGCAUUGCACCAAAUCCACUUUUUUUUAACAAAGAUUAUCUCAAAAAUCACCUUUUGGAUUGAAGCUUUCUGAAAAUAAUUUGCUCUUAAAUUUUGAAAUAUGAAGCAUAUUUAGACAAAUACAAUGUUUAUCAGAAAUAUUUAUGUAGGCCUAUUUCCCUCAUUUUGUAGCAGCACUGCUUUAAAAUUAUUGAUGAACUAGUCAUAGGAAUCACUCUUUUAAGUUCUCUACCUCUUACAUGGGAAAAUGUUGCUAACCUUUUUGCUAGGAGGCUGCUUGUGGAUCUUAUUUCAAAACUUUUUACCCACCUUGUUGGCAGCAGCUCAGGUCCGCUGUUUGACAGUAAUGCCAACCUCUACAUCUCCAUGUUUGAUGCAACUAUUUCCACAUUCAGUGAUGGAAGUUAGACAGUCCUACUGUAGCUUAUACAGUUGCAGAGUGCUCCAUGGAUCAUAUGAAGGUCAAGAAGAAGUUUUAUAUACAC
ensembl:lncRNA